GGAUUCCCCGAGUAGCGGCGAGCGAAACGGGAAGAGCCCAUCGCUGAAUCCUGCGAUCCCAGCGGAUCGCCGGGAAAUGUAGCGUAAGGGAGGAGAGUUAAAUUUAUACACGCGAGGUAUCAUUAGUCACGGCCGCCUGUCCAAGUUCAUCUUGAACGGGGCUCCGCUUGCCCAUAGAGGGUGCCAGGCCCGUAGCGACGGUGGCCGGCCUCGACGGUCUCUCUCCCGAGAGUCGGGUUGCUUGAGAGUGCAGCCCUAAGCGGGUGGUAAACUCCAUCUAAGGCUAAAUACAACCACGAGACCGAUAGCGAACA
rnacentral:rRNA from 1 species